rnacentral:lncRNA from 1 species
ACUUUACAGUAGUAGCACAUGUAUUAUAGAUCAUACUAUGCGAAACAGUAGUAUGUAUAAUACAUCGAGUUAUUGGAAAGUACAAUAGCCAGUAUCCACAAAACCAAACAGAAAAUAGAUUUAGUACAUGGGAAUCAAACGACAAUACAAAUAAAGCUUGCUUAGAUUAGAAUAUCUGAAAAGCAACCUGGAAUUUAAGACAAAUGAUCCUGAGUAGAAGCCUGAAGAAGUCCAUCACGAAUCUGGGUAGCCACAUCACGGACUGCACCAGGUCCAUGUGGAAUGAACACAGCAGAAGACUUGGAAGCAGCC